GGGAGACCAUAUUGGUGCUUAUGUGGGCUCCAGGUACCAGAACACCAUGCAGUUAGAUGGAGCACCUAAAGAACGGUUCAAAGUUGCUUAAACACUUUGCUAAGAAGAGAGCAUUGUAAGAAGAAAUUAAAAAAUUGCAGCACCGGAAGCUCAAGUCAAUUCUAUUGGAAGCUGGUCUUUUUUUUUUCCAGAAGGUUCUGGAUGGAACAGACUGGACUCUUUCAAUAAGGGUUUUAAUAUGCAAUUUAAUUUACAAUAGAAUGUCCUAUAUGACU
rnacentral:lncRNA from 1 species